rnacentral:lncRNA from 1 species
GACUAUAUUUCGUCGGCUAUAAUUAUUUUUUUAAAUUUUUUAUAAGGUUUAGCCGACAAAACAGACUAUAUUUCGUCGGCUAUAGUUAUUUUUUUAAAUUUUUUUAUAAGGUUUAGCCGACGAAACAUACUAUAUUUCGUCGGCUAUAGUCUGGGAAAAAAUUUUUUAUUACAGACUUUAGCCGACGAAUAUCUUAAUUGUUUCAUCGGCUAAAGUCUGGGAAAAAAACCGACGAUAUGUUUUUCGUCGGCUAAACUGUGGGACUAUAGCCGAUGAAAUUUUCUUUUUCGUCGGCUAAAGUCAUCACAGACGACCUUUUCCCGACGAAAUCUGAGCCGACGAUGGCUCGUCGGGUAAGAUCUUAGCCGACGAAUUAAGCUAACAGGCCGACGAAAUUGUAUGUAAGCAACACAUAACACAUGGUAGAGUGCUUGUCCUGGUAGUGCAUGUAAGCAACACAUAACACAUCUAGAUGCGAGAGAAAUUCCACGUUUUUGUAAGAAGUCCUCUGAAAUUACUCGGCCCCGUAACACCUUCCAAACUAAAAAUGAGAUUAUGGGAUUGAUGAAUUUACAUCAAAUUAAUUUUCCCCAAUUCAAAGCGAGAGAAUGAGGUCAUAGAAAUUGAAAAGCCUCAUUGGCACUUAACACACCAGAUUUCGAUGAAGACCAAAUAAGCUUACCAUGCUUCAUGGGGUCCAAGGCCACUGGAACUCUACUAAUCAUAUCACAAAGGCUUGGAUACACUACCAGGACAAGCACUUUAGCCGACGAAAAAUUUUCGUCGGCCUGUCAGCUUAAUUCGUCGGGAAAAUGUCGUCUGUGGUGACUUUAGCCGACGACACAUGUAGAAGUCGUCGGCUAUAGUCCAGAGUUUAGCCGACGAAAAAAAUGUCGUCGGCUAUAAUCCAGACUUUAGCCGACGAAAAAAGUGUCGUCGGUUAUCUGACCAAACUUUAGCCGAUGAAACAUUUAAGGUAUUCGUCGGCUAUAGUUCUAGAGUUUAGCCGACGAAAAACGUGUCGUCGGUUUUUUCUCCGACUUUAGCCGACGAAUAAUUUAAAAUAUUCGUCAGCUAAAGUUUGUAAUAAAAAAAUAAAAAAUAACUAAAGCCGNNN